rnacentral:rRNA from 1 species
AUUGAACGCUGGCGGUAUGCUUUACACAUGCAAGUCGAACGGCAGCACGGUCUUCGGCCUCGUUGCCAGUGGCGAACGGGCGAGUAAUAUAUCGGAACGUACCCAUCUGCUGGGGCUAACGUAGUGACAGUUGCGCUCAUACCCCAUUAGCUCUAUGGAUGUAAGCAGGGGACCGCAAGGCCUUGUGCCCCUGGACCAGUCGAUAACUGAUUAGCUAGUUGGUGAGGUAAAGGCCCAACAAGGCGACGAUCAGUAGCUGGUCUGAGAGGAUGAACAGCCACACUGGAACUGAGACACGGUCCAGGCUCCUACGGGAGGCAGCAGGGGGGAAUUUUGGACAAUGGGCGCAAGCCUGAUCCAGCAAAGCCGCGUGAGUGAAGAAGGCCUUCGGGUUGUAAAGCUCUUUUGGCAGGGAAGAAACGGUAGAGGCUAAUAUCCUUGGCCAAUGAAGGUACCUGAAGAAUAAGCACCGGCUAACUACGUG